UUGGGAAACAUUAAUAAAAACAAGCCCUGCGAGUAAAAGGAGCAGCAGCUGGUGUGUCGCUGAUGAAUAGACAGAUAAGGUGGUUUUAAGCUGUUAUUUGAGGAACAAUGCUGCUACAGCCUGGAUGAGGAAAAAGCAGACACUUCUUACAACUGUAGAUAUAAGACAUAAAUCCUCAAGCACAUGUGUCAGCCACAGGAUUAAUCCAACUUAAUCCAAUUUUCAAUUUCACGUUUUUUUAAUCUGUUUACCUGGAGUGACUACACCUUCAGCACAGAUGACAAAACAAGCUAAUCCCUUAACUUAAUUUGGUAAAGGAAAACUGUUUAAAAGAAGAGGGAAAGUAUGUGCUUAACCUGAUUUAUAAGAAAAGUGGGGUUAAAUGAUGUAAAAUCCCUAGAGUGAAGGGUUUUAAGUGUCCGCGGUGAGGAAUGUGCAGGGAUUGCGGAGCUGAGAGGUUGUCUAAUGGAGAAGGUUCCCUAUUACUCAAUUAUUUCCAGCCCAGCAGCUGGAAACGAGGAUGCGGAAAUGUGCAGAUGCUUUGAGCAAAACAGGGUUGAAAGAAAGGGGGCUAAUGGUGCGCAUUAGCGUAAAGCUCUUUAUGUGGCCAUAUAUGAGGCUAAUGCUGACUCACAAGUACAUACAGGAUGUACAUUAUCAUGCUUUCCAGAGCUGCUGCACAUCAAUACAUCUCUCUGAUAGGAUCCCCUCUGAAGUAAAUAAGAUUUUAAUCAAAUAAUUUCUGGAUGACUUCCAUUUUUACCCGACGUACAGUGGUAUUUGCCUGCGGUGGUUCUAUGCUGAAAGAGGCUGUAACUCUAUUUGUAUUCGUAUCAGAGUUUCCCCAUAACUGCCUCAGUGAAAUGGUAAAAAGAUAAAUGAGUAAACGCGCCAUCUGAAUGUAUAAUACCUUAUAUUAUCAGCAUUAGCGUCCUGUCUGUGAACCAGAGCAAGAAUAGCUCUGAUUCACUAAAUCCUUAAUGGAAUAGAUGAGAAAAGACAGUGUUGAUAAAUGGAAGGAAAGCAGGGAAAACGACUUUGUCAAACUUUUCCCAUUAGGCAACCAAGUUAGCAUAAAAUUACUGAGUGGAAAAGGAACAAGGGCGGUUUGUCGUGGCGAAAGAUAAGUAAUGUACUUGAGACGGAGCGCAAAACGUGAGCAGUAAAUAGUUUCAAGGAUCUACUGUAAGGUGCUUAAACUAGCGUGUAUAAACAUGCGGAGGAGUGUAGCCGCGCAUUUAGCAAUCAUGUUGAAAGACAGAGGGAAGCGAAGAAAAAGAAACAACAAAAAAAAAGAAAAAAAAAAGAGGGUGGCAGGUUGACAGUGAAAAGGCAUGAUGCAACAAGUCUGCUCGCUCAUUCUCUUCGAGUGUCUCUCUGCAUACAAGCAUGCAUGCCAGCAGUAUUUUCUGGUCCUUCUUAGUCAUUUCUCAUGAAAAGGACAUGCAGAUUAACCACAUUCCAAAACUUGCUCAUGUUUGCUUUUAUUUCGCUAAAGCAAUUUCGUUGCCAAAUGCCAAACUGAAAGAGACACAUUCAGUGCACAAAAAAACUGCUAAAUUAUAAACUGACACGCCGACUAAAAGACCCCGAGGCAGUGUGCCGAUUCUCGCUUGAGAAAUAAAAGGAAAUCAUUAGAAGUGAAGUUUUAUUUAUUAUUUUUUUUAUCAAUAUUUUGCACCAUGACAGGAGCUAGAAAGAGAUGGAUGGAGCGCAGGAGGGUGGAAGACAUAAAAGGUGCAUGAAGAGAGAGCACAUACAGGGAGGAGAGAUGUAGCAACAGGAAGCUUUAGAGGCAAAGAGAGGGAACCAAAGAGUGAAUGAAUAAAAGAGGAGCGAAGAAAUAAAAGGAUGAAGUGUGAGUAUUAGGCUGAAAACAGAGGGAAAACUGACUGAUAUGAAUAGAGACAGGAAGCAAGUGUCUUACAUCUGGGAGUGAAGGGAGCGCCAAGAAUGAGACAAUCCAUCCUUUCUUAUUAUUUGAGGCAAAAAGCGGACAGGAAGGCAGCAGUGCACCAUGGGAGUUCUGAGGCAUUUAAUUGGGGAUGAAGAGGGCCAAGAGCCAGGUUCAAGCUGAGCUACACUGAAGAAAAGUAAUUUGAUUUUCAGGGUGAACUUUCAACCGUGUCCCAUGCUGACUCCUUGCAACCACAAAAAAAGCUGUAGAGUUCUGUGACUGAAGUGAGAAAAGCUCAUUUAGACUCACAUGAACAAAGCAGAUUCACCGGCCUUGAUGAUAAUCUGACAGAGAAGCAUCACGGUUGAUCAAAACAUCUUAAUAAGAAUGAUGAGAAGCUUUUCAAAGAUGACGGUAACUCAAAGUGGUAAACUAACCUGAUUCAUGUGUCUGUGGACCGUGGGAGUAAGCUGCAGCGCCUGAAGUGCAAACUUCACCACCCUGCUGGCCGGUGAUUCAAACCAGGAACCGUCUUGCUGUGCAGCAAGAGCGCUAACCACUAGACCACCGUGCAGCCCCGCGAAUGUGUGAUUUUUCACUCCAAAAUAAAGAGCACAGCCUGCCUCAUAAUUCAGUGUUGGUGUAGUGUAUACUCAUCAGUUAUUCAAAAAUCUACUCUCAUGUUGUGACAGAACACGGAUCAGUGCUUGAUGGAUGUAACAACAGCUCUCUAAUGGAUGAAUUAGCCUGUCUGAGAUCACACUUAGGGUUACGAGUCCAAUAGCAUUGUGUUUUUCUUUUGAAGUACUGGUAAAAAAUACUACAGCUUUAUUAUAAAUGUUCACUUUUAAGAUUAGACAAGAUACCUGAAGUUAAGUUAAAUUAAGUUGAGAUGAGAUAAGAUAUACUUUAUUGUCCUAGAGGGAAAUUCAUUGUAGGCAGAAGUGCAGGUAGACUGUAUCGCCAUACAAGACAAGACCGCGUCACAGAACAACACAUAGUAACACACAACAGCCACAAGACAACAACAUCACUUUCAAGCACAUGACAACGACAGAGCACCAAUCGUACGAUGACAUACAGUAGCAUCGAAAAGCAACAAGUGUUGACAGCACCAAAAGGCAAUAAUGAAACUAUUGCAUAACCCUGAUCCUUAAGAAAAAUAUACAAUACAACACUGAAUACAAGAGUAAGAGCAGACAAUUUGAUCAACAGUGCUAUAAUAAAAGAUGAGGCACCACUAUUAAUAAAUAAGUAUAGAAUAAAUAGAUGAGUAACUAGCCUACUAAGUAGGCGGGCAUAUUCUGGGGCUAAAUGUGGCUUAUUUUGUCAAUGCAGACAACUUUAACAUUAAAAUAAAGCCUAAAUGAGGCUUGCAUGCUCUACUUUGUAGCCAGGAGGGCUCUCUGAGUGAAGUCUGCCCAGCUUUAGGAAAGGAAUUAGAACCACAACCUUUCAGCUGUUAGUAUGUUUUCUGACUCAUAGAUGUUUGUGGUAGUUAAACUGGGAUAUAAUGCACUUUAUAGCCCACAAGCCCGGAACAAUUACUGGUUAUAUGUGCUCAUUAGAAGAGGCAAUGCCAUAGGAUUACAAUGCAUAUAAAAAUUAAUUAGCCAUAAAAUGCUUAAUAGUGAGACAGAGUAAGAGGCUAUCAUAGCAGUGGAAGGAAACCCUGUUGCAGUGUUUAGCUCUGCAGCUGCUUUGUUUUGAUUGGAGUUGCGUUUUUUAUGCAAACAAAGGAUUUUCCAUUAAACUUGAUCAAACUACUGGACACUGAUUUAUCUGUAACAGUGGUAUUAAACAAAGAAAUUGGACUUAAAGAAGCUAGCAAGACAUCAGCUUGAGGCAGCAUUAGCCUAAAAGCUGCUGCAGUGAUUACUUUCCUUGUCUUCAACAGUUUUUUGGCUGCAUGACUUCCUCCCUCAUUUUUUAAGCUCAUGGUAUCUUAGUUUUCUUCUCUCCUCAGACUCCUCAGUUUUUACCCCCUGGUGCUUUCUCAGACACAUUAGCGGAACACCAAAUAUGCUGCUUUUUUAACUUCAUAUAAGAUAGCAGCAUGGUCUGGCGGGCACCGUUUUCCAAGCCUAAUAAGGCGACAGGAAGGAUUACAAGAAGAAGUGAGCGUAACUUCAUUCACUCUGUGCUUCUCCAGUUUCAACCAGCCUGUUGUCAUUGGCUAAUUAAUACUGGUGCAGCAGGCAGAGAUUAGUCCAAACAUGAUUGAUUUGAAAGGAUCUGGUUCUGCCUCAAUCCAGGCUCAGGAAGGAGGGGAAAAAAAAAAGACUCCUAAACUGGUCCUAUUUGUUCUAGUGUGAUGAAGCGUCUGUCUGAGUCACCAUGCAAUUGAGAAUUAUUCACUCACCAGUUCAUGAGAAACUGCCAGCGUCAGGUUUGGCUGCCUUCAUGAAUACAUUCAAAGUGAAGGUCACACUGAGGAGCACGGUGGCGGGUUGGGCACUGGAGCAGGAAAUAGCGAAGAAUUAGACUGACUUGCUCUAAAUAAAACAGCAAGUCACUUUUCCCCUCUGCCUCGCUUUGACUCUUCGCAGGUGUUUAAACACGAUGCAUAAACGCGUACACGAGGCGGCAUUUUAGGGGAAAAACUGUUCUUUUAGUUUCUUGUGUGGAGCCGGCGAGUGGGAAAAAAAGAGACAAAUCUACUGAUAGAGCUUUCAGAGGCAAAGUAAAUCUCCUGUAGUGCGAUUGCUAUCUUUUAUAUAACCGGCACAAACAUUUCCUGUUCUCUGUCUCCAAAUAGCUCAAUGUAAGAGUGACAUAAUAUCAGCACCCAGGGAAGCUUGUGUGGUGGAAGGAAGUACUGGAGAGUGAAAAGAUCCAUAAAAGAGAUCUUUGGACACGCUGAGAAAAUGCUUAUUUGAUUUCUUGCCAAGAGUAGGAUGGAGGGGUCUUAUCUUUACCAGUGUAAAGAAGCUUUUAAAGUGGUCCUGUUGCAUCUGAUGGAGCGGAGGUUUACUCGCUUUUAGGCUCAGUGCACAACCUUUACAAGAUCUGUGAUCAACCUGUCCAUCCUGCUUUAAGAUUAUAUUGAAAUGAAACUUGAGCGCCAAGUUUCAGGGCUAGUGCCUCGACUUAAAGGGAUAUUCCGGCGUAAAAUUAAUUUAGGGUCAAACACACCAUUACACCGACUUGAACUUACCCCCUCUAGAGAUGAAUGUUGCAGACUGCUUGCUUCUCUAGUUAUACUUACUGUAGUGACGGCCACACAAUAGCAAUACACAGCAGACUGAGGAUGCUCAGACUGAGCAUUGUUUGUGGUUAGAGUGGCGUUUUGGUUGAGGUUUGUUUAUGGCGCCUCAGACCGCUGUGUAUUGCUAUCAUGUGGUCGUUACUAAAGUUGGCACAACUAGAGAAGCAACAUUCAGCAACAUUCAUCACUCAAGGGGGUGUCUAAGUUGGUGUUACCGUGUGUUUGACCCUAAAUUAAUUUUACACCGGAAUAUCCCUUUAAGCUUAUACAUCAAGACUUGGAAGAUGAGGAAACUUGUUUUUUGUGCAUUAUCAUUUACUCAUUUAUUGCAACUCCUUCUGAUCUGCUUGUAACAAAUCGACUGAGUGAAAAUGUCCAACUAGUCUGUGAGAAGCAGCCACAGAGCUGCUGCUGUAAAAUAUAAUUCACCAGUAAUGUGGCACAAAAAAAUAAGACAGAAAGGUGGAGCUGCUACGUGCACGCACAGUAUAUGAGGUCUUCUAUGCCAAACUGCCUCCCUAAGCAAUAGGCCCCCUUUACUCUUCCUAAAUCUCAGGGAAUUAAUUACAACACCGGUGAUGUAAGUGCCAACUGGCACAGUGCCGAUGGCUCGGUGAUGGCCUCAGUGAACAGACUGCUUUAUGAGCUAAACACGGGUGGCAGAGAUGGACGAGAUAAGAAGAGUCAGGGAGAAAAAGAUUGAAGGAGCUGUUGAGGAAACUCAUUAAUGAGCGGCAUGGAUUGAGGGUACAACACAUGCACAUACAGGAGCUGUGGUCUGAUUUAUAGUCCCGUACUGUAGAUUUAUAAUAAAGCAUCCAAAGCCUUUCUUCAGACUCAAAGAGGAAGCUCAAACCCUCUUCUACCCUCCCCACCUUCACAGGCUGGAGGCUGGUGCUGUGACAGAGUUGAUUUGAAUCCAUUUUGGCUUCUCACUCAUGUAACUCCUCAUUUCAUCCUCUGAGCUGUCCGCAGAGUCCUGUCACAAAGAUGAAGUUUAGCUUACACCACAGCUGUUGCAACAGAUUUUCUCCCUCUUUCUUCCUGUGGGCUCUGGUGUCACAGUGGGAUCUUUCUUUGGGCUUUGUCUCUCUCUAUGCAACUCAAGCUCCAGACUCUUCUGCCUCAUUCUUAAAUAUCUGCACAACCCUGUAAAGACAAACCACUCGCUAAUUAACCCACAAUAAAAGGAUAUUGCACAGUAUGCCAAUGGGACCCACAUCGUGCCGCCUCUGACCUCCUCUUUGUUUCCUUUGUCCUCUUCUUUGUGUGCUACAUGUAGCGCCAAGGGACAUCCUGUCAGCAUGUGAAUAGCCACUGUUCAUCUCUGGAUACAGCUGUGCCCCCUGUACCCUCUCUGCAUGACCCAUAUUCUGUUAGCAAAAUGCCCUGACAGAUGUGAUGCAGCCACCCUCUGACUUUCUCCCCAUACCCAAGAGCUAAAAUAUUCUUAGCUCGCUUUAACGUACAAUGAUAUUGGUUGAAGUUUCUUGCAAUUCCUCUAGAGUUGACUUGUGGUGUUAGGGCUAUGAUUGUUUAGUCUAAGACCUUUGUCCAAUGAAAGCCAAGCUAGCAUUUGAGAAAAUGACCUUGCAUGAUACUUUUUUCAAAUUCCUGCCAGUCAUUUUUUUUAAAGAUUCAUUUUGGAGCUUUAUUAGACAGGAUGGGACAGAGAUGAAAAAAGAGAGAGAGACAGCAGGGAGUGACAUGAGGGAAGGGAGCCACAGGUCGUAAUUGAACCUAGACCACCCCAUGGGGCACGCUUAGACCACCCCCAUGACUGUCAUUGUAACAAGAGUGUCACAACCUGGAGUCCCUCAGAAGUUUUUUCCUGAACUUUUUCCUUUACAAAAGAUGUUAUAACCUAAAGGCAUGGUUGACGAUUGGAGAGAUUGGUAAUUAUUAUGAACCUCGUUUAUAUGGCCAUCAUGGUCCCAUAGUGCAAUCUCCACGAAGUGAAGAACAAAAAGAAUGGAAAAAAUCUGUUCUCCCUAGCAGUUGCAGGGCUGCGAAAACAUUUACAAAUGGGAGUCAUCCAUCCCAGACGCGAUAUUUUUUUUGUAGGAUGGUAGGGAAAAGUCCCACCUCCUUCGCCUCUGAUUGGCUAGAAAAGCUUGAAAGGUUGUCACAUGCUCAAGCCAAAUGUGGGCUGUCGGCUCUGUACAUCCAACAGAACAUUGGAGAACAUUAUCGCACUUCUGAAUCUCCUAACCCUAACCCUAAUUCUAAUCCUAGCCCUAACCCUUACCCGACAUUUCACAGCCAUAAGGAAUAACCAAUCAGAGCUCAGCACUUCUAGCCAAUCAGAGGUGAAAGAGGGCAGGACCUUCCCCUACCAUCCUACAAAAAAAAAUUCUGCGUCCUGGACAGCUCCUAUUGGUCAAUCUCCUGCUCUGCCUCUCCAUCCAAUCACCACUUGAAUAUACUCAAGGGAGUUUGUCUGUAUCUCUAGAGAGUAUUCAGCUCCAAGAUCAUUGUGCCUUUUAACAAUAAGGAGGAAAAGGAUAUCUAAUAUCUGAUACAGAGAGAGGCCUGUGUCUAAACUUCAAUAUAACACGAUUGGGGCUCAGCUGGUGAGGAAACAGUCCUCUAGACUAAGCAUCUUGAGAAGUGAAGCGAAUGUGGAAGUGCUCGAAACUGUAGUUCCUCAGGUGUCCACUUGAGGCUGGCCACUCAAUCCAGCUUUAAGUGGGCAUAUCCGAAAACCCUGUCUACGGUGCUUUGAGUAGUGUGAAGGAGGUCGCUCAUUGUCUGAGUGGUUUUAUAACUACCCUUGAAUUAAAACUUGAAGAGGCAUUUAUAUGAGUAUUGGAUACUCCAUAAUACAAACUUGUAAGCACAUGUGCAAACAUUGCAAAACAGAUGAGAUUGUUAUUGUCAUCUUUUGUACAAUUGCGAUUGUAAUCAGUCACCUAUAUGAAAGUAUCUAAGGUCUAAACUUAAGUCUGCUUGCUUUGUAUAUGACUUCAGUGAGGCCCCAAAGCCUCUGUUAGACACGGAGCUCUGCCCCUGACACUUUUUAAAGUGGCUCUUUCACACAUGUCCCUCAUACUUGAGUCUUCCCUGUCAAACAAGGGGGGCUGGUAGUCAAGAAGAAGGAGACGAGCCCCAGGAGACAAGACAUAACAUAAAGCACCCACUUAAAGGAGCCUCACUGCUGUGUUUACGACAUGAUGGAGGGAGUAGUGGGGACCAUAACUAAAAAGAUAGUUUGUGCAUUGUUGUGUUUGUAAUGCUGUGUGCUGAUAUCAUCUUAUGGAUGACUCGUCUUCUUCGCUUUUGGAUGUUGUUAUUUGGUCGGUUAUAGGUCACUGUUCUGUGUUUUCACAAUUAUCAGGGUAGGGGGUGUGGGCCCCUUAAGAAAAGCAUCAAACUGGGCCCCACCACUUCGAUAACAAAAAUGUUCUGCUAUUUUAAGUGCCGUCUUAAGGAAUAGACCCGUUAAGAGGUCCUGACUUUUCUCUCUCCGGUGACAUCCCCCCGUCUGCCUGGUGGCUUUGAACUUUGAACUACGUGUUAUAAUUGUGUUUUACUUUGCUAGUGUUAGAUUUGAACUUUUUCACUGAACUCAUGCAAUUUAACAAAUAUUUUCAUUUAGCUUAUCAGUUGUUCUCAUUUAGUCAGAGAGGUGUGACGUCUAGCUUGAUAAGGUGGAACCUGAUGAGCAACAAGGCUCUUUUUGUUCUGCCGGACAGGUUUGCUUCAGAAGUUACAUGCCUCAAGGCCAACAACACACACACACUCAAAUUUUAUAGUACAUUUUAGUAAAACCAUGUGAACAGUGGUUGGGCUCUUCACGUUGGAGAUAACUGGCCAAUGAUACUCGGUUGAGUAAGCGGAAAUUUCAGUCUGUGUUAACAUAUGCAGUCCAUCCUGAAAAUUUCAGUCUGUGUUAACACAUGCACCCCAUCCUGAAAAUUUCAGUUUGUGUUCACACAUGCAGCUCAUUCUGAAAAUUCCAGUUUCUGUUCACACAUGCAGCCCAUCCAAAAAAUUUCAGUUUGUGUUAACACAUGCAGCCCAAUCCAAAAAAGUUCAGUUUGUGUUAACACAUGCACCUCAUUCUGUAAAUUUCAGUUUGCUUUAACACAUGCAGUCCAUCCUGAAAAUUCUGGAUGUUUCAGGACUUCUGUGCAUGUGUGAAUACAGCUUCAAAGCGAGACUAUGUCCAUCCAUCCUCUUCAAGACAGUUCUGUUUCUUCACAAACAACCCUAACCAAUUUUAUGUUCAGAUAUUCCCUCUAAAGAGUAACUACUGAAGGCUCAGAGCUCCAAACAAAAGUGGUGUGGCCUUGUAAUUGUGAUGAGAUUGGUAAUUAUCAGCUAAGACUUCUACAAAUGCGGAAUAAUCAAUUUCACUACACAUUCAGCUUACAAAGCGCCUGAUAAAUACAGUUUUAUAAAUUGUCUGAAGAACCAAACAAAGGCCCAGUCUCUUUAAGGAGCAUUCAGUUGCAGAGCUCCAUCAAAACACAACACACUCUCAGGCCUGUUAUUGGCAGCUCAGCAGAUGGUUGGUGUUAAAUUCUGUGAUGGACUGCAGCCGGCCGGAUCGAUAGCUCUCCUCUUCCAGGAGGAGAUGUGAUUAGACUAACCUGCUGCUACUCCCACUCUCUUUUUCCAUCAGCGAAGGAAAACACUCAAAAUACACUUAGUGUAAACAUACACACAUAAAAACACACUUACUGUAAUGACAUACACCUGGAGGUAUGCACACACACACAUGCACUCCCACGUGCACCCUAGAGAAAAUUGAAUGUUUGAGCUUUGCUCCGAGUAGCACUCAGAGAAAGUCAAACAGUGACUCAGCAGACAGACAGACAGAGAGAGAGAGAGAGCAGAGAGGGGGAGACAGACACAGACACAGGUAAGGAGGGCUGCAUAAAAAUGAUGGAAUUAAAGCUUUGAAGUGAGAGAAAGAAAGAGCCAUAAUUUCACUGUCUAUAUUUAUUUGAUCAUCAUGUAUCAACCCUAGAAUUACCGCUCUGACUUAUUUCUUCUGCACGUACAUCUCCUCAUGAUGCCUGUUGUCUCUGAUCCGUUGUUUAUACUUUAUUUCAAAGGAGGCGUAACAUCAUUAUUCCCUGACACUGAUGCAUCUCGGUUGCCACAUCACUUCAUUUUAAAUCUCACUCCUGCCACUGCUGCCUCCACUUUCUGCUUUAUUUUACCAUCUCUUCUCUUUUUCCCCUCAUGUCUCACUUUCGCUUCGUUUCACACUCUUUAUCACCCAAUCGUUUUUUUUUCCAAUUAUCACAUCUAAUGAGUUUAGAUCAUUAGACCAUGAUGGGGUCAGUAAUCUAGCCCAUGAAUUGAAGAGACGCCCCGUAUCUCUGAUGCACAUUAGAGGUGUUUGAAUUGGUGUUACAUUUUAGAGUGAAUUUCUCCCCUCGGAGGUUAUUCAUUACAUAACAUUAAUUGUCUAUCAAAAGAGUGAGUGCCCACUGUGACUCCUCUGUUUUUCCUUUUCUAGACAGUGAGUGCAAUCUUUCUCUAUUCAAAGUUCACACAUUACUCAGCCUUUUUCUUUGUUGUCUUUAACAACCUAAUUGAAAAACCAGACUUGUCGAGAGGGGCAGCAGUAAGUAAGAUUCAUGAUGCGUUGCCGACAUGAAGUCGUACAUCAUAGUUUGUGAGGCGGGCGACAGAAGCUGCCAUUAUUGGAUCAACGUUGCUUCAUUAAGUCCCAACACGACCCAGUCUGUGGCUUGCGCCUGUGGACAGAGAGGAGGAAGGAGAGUAAGAGAGAGAGAGAGAGGGGUGAAGAAAGCCAAAAGCUGAGGGAAAUAGAGAAUGAGAAUGGAGUUAAAGAGGAGAAAAGGCAAAAGGGAAGUGAAAAAAAAAACACUCGAACCAAGCUGAAGCCGGCCAGUUUGUUCUGAAUCCAACAUAAUUUAGCGUUUUUUCAUUGGCAGAAAACGUGAUGCAGUAAUCGUUGAGUAAGCGAACAAUGCAUCAGGGAUUGUGGCCAACAGCUUCCUGUUUAUUCUAGCUUACUCCACAUUUCCACAAAGACUCAGGCAGCGGGUUGGCAACCCCCUGAAUGGUGAACCACCUCCAAGUUUAGAGGCUUAUUUCCAUCAAUCUGUCGGUCUAAUUUCCCAAACCACAUUUCCUGUAACCUCACUGGGUUACAUUAUAGCUGCAGCAAUACAUUCAUACCUGACAAAUUCAAACCCAAAUAUCUAAUUGUACACACUACCACAGUGAUAGACUAACAGGUGUGUGCAAAUUCCUGUACUGCUGAGCUGUGGGCCCAGACUGGCAAAGAGAGGGUGCCAUCUAGUGGCUGUCCUUUGCGUCGCAGCAGCAGCACAAAUAACGUCUUGUCUUUGGAGACAUUAGUCCUUGGAAACUUGCUCAGGUUUUUUCAAUUAAUCCAGAUAAUUAGACAUGCUUUUAGGACUGUAUUGGCAUGCACAGACUGCACUUAAGGCCUAAUCAGCCACAUUAAGUGGAAACACCUGCGUCAGUGCGAGGACUUAAAUAUCAUUGAAAUGCUAAAAUGCUGUCUCCUCCACAGCGAGUUUCAAGGUAUUUUUCCAACCCACUAAUUUCAUUCGCUCCUCCGAAAAACUGCAUUUAAAUGAAGUCACAUUCACGUCUUAUCACUCCAUCAGUACAUGCCUCUCUCAAAGAAGUGAAUCACAUUUCUCUAUCUCAAUUAAAAUCUUUGCUCCUAAUUAGAAGCUCCAGUGGGUAGGACAAAUUGAUGCAUCAUGCGCAGAGAUAGCUCAAAUAGGAUUUUAAUGAAGAACAGAUUGAUCUAGAGUUACCAAGUAAAAUGAAAAUGAUUAAAACAUAUUGGACCAAUGCUGGAGUUUGGAAGAUUAUCACGCUCAUACAUGAGUGGGUAUAAGUAAGAAAACAGCAAAUAAACAACAAUUGGAUGGGAGAAAGGCAUUUACAGUUUGAGUGUCUGACAAAAAGGGUGAUUAUUGUUGCGUGAGUCCGACCUUUUUAACAAGAUCAAAAAGUUAUGACUGAGACUGCAGUUGAGGUGAACAUGAUGAAGCAUAGUCUGGAUAAAAAGUAGACUAAGUUACUGACUGAUGCAGAUGUAGAGUUUCAUCACAUCGUAAGUAGAAGUUUGCCUGUUGAAGUUAGAAAGUUGGUGGUAAUGUGAGUGUGUUUCUGCCUCAAUCUUUUCAACAUUAUGGCUUAUUAA